rnacentral:rRNA from 1 species
GGGUGACUGCGUACCUUUUGUAUAAUGGGUCAGCGACUUAUAUUCUGUAGCAAGGUUAACCGUAUAGGGGAGCCGCAGGGAAACCGAGUCUUAACUGGGCGUUAAGUUGCAGGGUAUAGACCCGAAACCCGGUGAUCUAGCCAUGGGCAGGUUGAAGGUUGGGUAACACUAACUGGAGGACCGAACCGACUAAUGUUGAAAAAUUAGCGGAUGACUUGUGGCUGGGGGUGAAAGGCCAAUCAAACCGGGAGAUAGCUGGUUCUCCCCGAAAGCUAUUUAGGUAGCGCCUCGUGAAUUCAUCUUCGGGGGUAGAGCACUGUUUCGGCUAGGGGGUCAUCCCGACUUACCAACCCGAUGCAAACUACGAAUACCGAAGAAUGUUAUCACGGGAGACACACGGCGGGUGCUAACGUCCGUCGUGAAGAGGGAAACAACCCAGACCGCCAGCUAAGGUCCCAAAGUCAUGGUUAAGUGGGAAACGAUGUGGGAAGGCCCAGACAGCCAGGAUGUUGGCUUAGAAGCAGCCAUCAUUUAAAGAAAGCGUAAUAGCUCACUGGUCGAGUCGGCCUGCGCGGAAGAUGUAACGGGGCUAAACCAUGCACCGAAGCUGCGGCAGCGACACUAUGUGUUGUUGGGUAGGGGAGCGUUCUGUAAGCCGUUGAAGGUGGCCUGUGAGGGUUGCUGGAGGUAUCAGAAGUGCGAAUGCUGACAUAAGUAACGAUAAUGCGGGUGAAAAACCCGCACGCCGGAAGACCAAGGGUUCCUGUCCAACGUUAAUCGGGGCAGGGUGAGUCGACCCCUAAGGCGAGGCCGAAAGGCGUAGUCGAUGGGAAACAGGUUAAUAUUCCUGUACUCGGUGUUACUGCGAAGGGGGGACGGAGAAGGCUAUGUUGGCCGGGCGACGGUUGUCCCGGUUUAAGCAUGUAGGCGGAUGUUCCAGGUAAAUCCGGAACGUUAUUAACGCUGAGGUGUGAUGACGAGGCACUACGGUGCUGAAGUGACAAAUGCCCUGCUUCCAGGAAAAGCCUCUAAGCAUCAGGUAACAUCAAAUCGUACCCCAAACCGACACAGGUGGUCAGGUAGAGAAUACCAAGGCGCUUGAGAGAACUCGGGUGAAGGAACUAGGCAAAAUGGUGCCGUAACUUCGGGAGAAGGCACGCUGAUGGUAGGUGAAGCGACUUGCUCGUGGAGCUGAAAUCAGUCGAAGAUACCAGCUGGCUGCAACUGUUUAUUAAAAACACAGCACUGUGCAAACACGAAAGUGGACGUAUACGGUGUGACGCCUGCCCGGUGCCGGAAGGUUAAUUGAUGGGGUUAUCCGUAAGGAGAAGCUCUUGAUCGAAGCCCCGGUAAACGGCGGCCGUAACUAUAACGGUCCUAAGGUAGCGAAAUUCCUUGUCGGGUAAGUUCCGACCUGCACGAAUGGCGUAAUGAUGGCCAGGCUGUCUCCACCCGAGACUCAGUGAAAUUGAACUCGCUGUGAAGAUGCAGUGUACCCGCGGCAAGACGGAAAGACCCCGUGAACCUUUACUAUAGCUUGACACUGAACACUGGUCCUUGAUGUGUAGGAUAGGUGGGAGGCUUUGAAGUGUGGACGCCAGUCUGCAUGGAGCCAUCCUUGAAAUACCACCCUUUAAUGGCUGGUGUUCUAACGUGGGCCCCUAAUCGGGGUUGCGGACAGUGUCUGGUGGGUAGUUUGACUGGGGCGGUCUCCUCCUAAAGAGUAACGGAGGAGCACGAAGGUCAGCUAAUCCUGGUCGGACAUCAGGAGGUUAGUGCAAUGGCAUAAGCUGGCUUGACUGCGAGCGUGACGGCGCGAGCAGGUGCGAAAGCAGGUCAUAGUGAUCCGGUGGUUCUGAAUGGAAGGGCCAUCGCUCAACGGAUAAAAGGUACUCCGGGGAUAACAGGCUGAUACCGCCCAAGAGUUCAUAUCGACGGCGGUGUUUGGCACCUCGAUGUCGGCUCAUCACAUCCUGGGGCUGAAGUAGGUCCCAAGGGUAUGGCUGUUCGCCAUUUAAAGUGGUACGCGAGCUGGGUUUAGAACGUCGUGAGACAGUUCGGUCCCUAUCUGCCGUGGGCGCUGGAGAAUUGAGGGGGGCUGCUCCUAGUACGAGAGGACCGGAGUGGACGCAUCACUGGUGUUCGGGUUGUCAUGCCAAUGGCAUUGCCCGGUAGCUAAAUGCGGAAGAGAUAAGUGCUGAAAGCAUCUAAGCACGAAACUUGCCCCGAGAUGAGUUCUCCCUGACCCUUUAAGGGUCCUGAAGGAACGUUGAAGACGACGACGUUGAUAGGCCGGGUGUGUAAGCGCAGCGAUGCGUUGAGCUAACCGGUACUAAUGAACCGUGAGGCUUAACCUU